rnacentral:lncRNA from 1 species
GGACUCAGCCCCGGCCGGGAAGUUCGAACGGACGUGGAAGAGCCCGCAGGUUGGGCCCAUGCACAGCAGCAGCUGCUCAGGGUCAGAGUUUCCUCGGGUUCUGUAUAAAAGCUUUGGUAGGUUCAUCCUCACGGUGAAGAUGUGUCUUUGUUAAUUUAGUCCAAGGUUGACUGAUUAGUGAAAUAAUCAUAUGCUGAAGAGAACAGGAAGUACUUGUGUUUAGAAAAAAAAGUAAUUGCAGCAAAUGCUAAAUAUCUCAAAGUAGGCUUAGUAUCUCUAAGAUAAUUGAGGCCUUUGAGAAAUACAAAAGAAGAACCGAAGAGCAAAGAAACAAGCUGAAGUAAGGAGAGCGCCCCACUCCCCAGUCCAAGAUUUCUGCUGCCCUACAGGAGACAUGUUCUUGGGAAAGCAGCAUCUCUCUCAAUUCGUCGUUAAAGAUGAAAUAGGCAAUUUCUGCCCAGUGACUUCCUUGCUACGAUAAACAACCUCGCCUGGAGGUGAAGAUGCUCAGUUUCUUCUUUGAACCAAGAAGGCGGUGCUGUCAGGAGCAGACAUGUCUCAUUGUCAAAUGAUGAAAUAACAUUAAAUGUAACAUUUUGUGGAUUUCUGAUGCUUUUGAAGACUCUAUAUAUGAGGUAAUCUGAACUGUUAAACCUUGACUACUCUUAGUAUUUCUAAUUGGAAUAUAUUGAAAACACACUUUUAUAAUUAAAUAAGAAUCUAACAUAACCAUGAGUUUGCUAUCUGGCCCUUAACUUGUAUAGCUUAAUCAUCUAAAAAUAGUUUGUAAUAGCAGUUAUUAGGAGGACUGGGUCUAAGCUUUGUAUUCUUAAAUGAGUUGCAUAGGUACAAUGCCUAUCUAAGAGUGACAAUAUUAAUCUCAAAUUUUGUAUCAAUAUAAGAAAUUCAUACCAAUGAAAACCUUAAAUCUGUAUCAAAAUAAAUUAUGUACCAAUGUAAGGGAAUUAUAAUUUCAACUUUGCAUCAAUUAUAAAGAUUUCUACCAAUUAA